rnacentral:lncRNA from 1 species
GUACUCAAAAAUCAGUAAUUAUUAUUAUAAUUUUUUUAAUGGAUGGAACUACAGUACAUUAAAAAAGUUAACAUACUCUAGGACCCAAAGUAACCCAUUCAUAUAUACACAAACAGAAUUCCAGUAGUUUGUUCAUGACAAUAUAGCCUAGCAGACUACCUGCCGAUGAUUCAGUGCUGGCUGACUUGUUUUGCUAAUUGGGUUUCUGUAGGUGCAAUGCGGUUAGACAUGAAAUAACAAAAGCCAAUUUCCCCUAGUGACCGUUCAUAUGAGGAUUAUUUAUCAGUUAUUAUAGAGUAAUAAUGAUUAGGCCUAUAUCACCUCUUACUGCUGAGUGCACCAAGCAGAGAGGCAGGCAGAGAGGCAGGCUGAGAGGCAGGCAGGCAGAGGCAGGCUCCCUCCUGCUAGGCUAUCUGUACAGGAAGCCAGCCACACAGGCAUCAAGGCAAGAAGGCAGGUAUACAGGCAGGCAGGCAGCCUCCUUGGAGACAGUAUUCUUGGAGACACUGCCCUCUGGGAUCAGAGGGCAGUGUACUGUUCUUGUGUUGUAUGAAUCUUUCAAAACCAAACUAUAGGUAUAUCAAUUAGUAACAGUUGUUAAUGGGGAUGAUGUCUCCUUUAGUUUUAUGGAGAUGCAGCUCUCUUUGGUACAGUGAGCCUAAUAGGGAAACAAUGAUUCAUCAAAGUAAACAGAAAGGAACAGACUUAAUUAAAAGCGGUUCAAAGAAUAACACCAUUUGUUCCCUCUUUUCUGAAUCACUUUUCUUCUUCAUUUCUGCCUAGUUUUGCAAUUACAAGCUUGUGAAUUCUUCUAAAAACUGUUUUAACACUUCAUUGGUUGAACACUGUUUUAAAGCUGGAAUUCGUACUUGGUGAAACGGCCAUGUCCGUUUGCGAUAUUACAACAACAAAGAAGUUACUUCAAACUACGAACACAGUUUUUUUCCCCCGCUGACAUCGUUGCACAUCAUUGCACGUGCGAUAGAACACAGAGUAUGUACUGGAAUAUUGUUUUACCACGAUACUGGAUGCUCCUCUACUCUGUUUCAUCAACAGAACAAAAAUCAUGACAAAUGCACUGAGGGCUAACAAUGGCGCUGUUUCACCUUAUGCGGAUUUCAUCUUUAACACUGAGUUGGUUGAACAGUUCUCUAACGCUGCUCUGUUGGGGAUCCCCUGCAAGUUUGACAUUCACAAGUUUGACAUUCACUUCUUUGGAGAAGUGCUGAGUGCAGGAACUAUUCCUGGCUGUAACAAUGAAGCAUCCAUCUUCACAGGCAGGUACUGUAUUAUUUAUUCCUGUAACCCUGCCCCCCCCCAAAAAUGUACUUCAUAACCUUCCCAAUGCACCUUUGAACAGAAGCGUAAAAAGCCUUAGCAUAAACCCCGGCGCAGACUUUGUGCUAGCAAUUUUGCGAGACCUGCUUAUCUUGCAAUAUUCAAUAUCCAUAGCGGAAACGUAUUGCAAUAGUAAUUGAGUCUGGAAUGGAAGUCCUUUCUCCUAGGAAGCUUGCCAUGUCAGGGGCUAAGUCACAUAUCUUCAUUAUAGCUUAUAGGAUAUUCGCUGAAGAAUACAAUAGAGCAACACUUGGAUGAGCUGGAAUUUAGCAUUUUCUGUUUUAUUGCUGCUGUAUUAUGCAAAACUCUCCUUUCUCAAGAGCCCCAGAACCUUAAAAGUGCAUCCCAAAUGGCACCCUAAUCCCUACGCAAUGCACUACUUUUGACCAGGGACCAGGGAAUAGGGUUGCAUUUGGGAGCGUGCAUAUUGUAAGCCAUGGGGAUAUUCUAAGAAGAUGAUUCAAUGACAAGAUGAUUCAAUGAAUUUCCUGUUCCCAUUCUUCUUCCAUUUGUCUGAACACAUCCAGGUCUCCGUCCCAAAUGGCAGCCUAUUUCCUGUACAUUCUGUAGUGCACAACUUUUGACUAGAGCUCUAUGGGUGCUGUUUGGGACGCACCCAAGACUUAGCCUAUUGUCUAACAAGGGAGAUAAUCUACACAACUCAGACUACGGUACCAUGGGCUUCCAAGUCAAGUCAUUCAUUAAUUAAUGUACUGUAUCCUCUUUUACUGGAAUUAGCUACAACUCAAAGAGAGUGAGGUAGCUACAUUGUUCAAAAGAAAUUCAAAGUGUUUUCAUCGUUGAUGUCUUUAGGUGAGUACAGUCGCAUGCCACAUUCAUCCAUGGAGAAUGCUAGCAUGUAUUUGUAUUUUAUGCCAUUUUGUCGACAGUAGGAGAAGAGAUGGAAAAGUCACCAGCUUUCGGCUUUGCCAUUGUUCAAGCUUCACAGAGCAGUCGGGAUGAGAGGAAUUUAUGUUGAUGCCUUCAGGGCCAUAUCAAAGUAUGGCUUAUUGUCACAAUAAAAAAGAAUGUUCUCUGCACACCAAGGCCAGGAGGAAAGCUGGGAUACAAUUGUAAGAGAACACGAUGGGUGUCUUUUGAACUGUUAUUUGAUUUCUAAUCAUAAAAAUACAUUGAACGGGAAGUGCGGCUGGUUGCAAGGCUGACUUCCUGAUUAUUGCCUUUCAAGCACUUGGUGCUUCUAUAUAGCUGUCUAGGCCAAGCUAUGGCUUCAGUGACCCUGGAAUAACUCUUUUAGAAAAGUUGUUAAUCUCCUCGAGAGGUGUCAGUGGCCCUGGUGAAGUCACGGCCGGGUCCCAAGUGGCACCCUAUUCCCUAUUUAGCACCCUAUUCCCCCAUAGGGCCCUGGUCAAAAGUAGCCUAGUGCACUAAAGAAGAAAUUGGGUGCCAUUUGGGGCACAUAUUUUGUAAGUGUUUUCCUCUCUGAUCAAUAGGAUUUGAUAUGUUGUCGGUGAGGACGGCAGUUGGAUAGAUGUCUCAAUGGCUUCAUUGUCUUUACCUCAAUCAGACAGAGCACUCAAGCUACUGCACUCAAACACACGCUGAGUCACUGGCUUUGAAGUUGGACUUGAUUAGAGAAUUGAAGGAAAAAUCUGUUUGGAGAAAGGUUAGCAAUUGUCCCAUACUUUGAUUAGGAAGACAAAUGGAAAGAAAUACUUUCAACUUGCAAUCAAAUGGCCAAAAGUAAGUGCUCUUUGCCAGCUCGUAGAUCAGGUGAUGUAUGAUCUUGAGAUUGGCUUGUAUUGUCUUGUAUCCCAACCAAGAAUAAUGCGCAAUUAGAGUAAAACGAUUUCCCAGAGGCACAAUGUUUUUUUUGCAAAGUGUGCUGGCUCAGUUCUGCAGGAACGUUUCUGGGGUUGUUCGAAUUGCAUUAAACCCACAUAGUGCUGCCUGGCGCUACUCAAGGAUUCAGAACUGCCCUUCAGCAGCCUCGGGCACUGCAUUGCUCUAUUCUAGCUUGAUGAAAAUAGAAAACACAAAAUCCUCCAUAAGCUUCUAAAUCUCGUUAACACACACUAUUGAAGUGACAACAUUUGCCCCUAUAUCUUGGUUUCCUGAACUCAGAUGUUGUGUUGAAUAAUCAGAUUUUUCGACUGGGUAUACAAGUAAACUCUUAAUUGGGAAAAAAGAGUUUGGCUGAUUUAAUUAAUGACUGUGCAAAUGUAUCAAAUGUGUAGCUUGAUACAUACCCACACCUAAUCGAAUGGCAUUUUCAUGUGAUAAAACAACAGACAUGAAUUAUCUUCAACAUAAACUUGACCACAUUUAGUCACCGAUACAGUAUUUUGGGAUGUUAAUACUUUGAGCAUACACUACCGUUCAAAAGUUUGGGGUCACUUAGAAUUUCCUUGUUUUUGAAAGAAAAGCAUUUUUUUUUGUCCAUUAAAAUAACAUCAAACUGAUCAGAAAUACAGUGCAGAUAUUGUUAAUGUUGUAAAUGACUAUUGUAGCUGGAAACGGCAUAUUUUUUAUGGAAUAUCUACAUAGGCGUACAGAGGCCCAUUAUCAGCAACCAUCACUCCUGUGUUCCAAUGGCACGUUGUGUUAGCUAAUCCAAGUUUCUCAUUUCAAAAGGCUAAUUGAUCAUUAGAAAACUUUUUUGUAAUUAUGUUCGCACAGCUGAAAACUGUCGUUCUGAUAAAGAAGCAAUACAACUGGCCUUCUUUAGACUAGUUGAAUAUCUGGAGCAUCAGCAUUUGUGGCUUUGACUACAGGCUCAAAAUGGCCGGAAAAAAUUACUUUCUUCUGAAACUCGUCAGUCUAUUCUUGUUCUGAGAAAUGAUGGCUAUUCCAUGCGAGAAAUUGCCAAGAAACUAAAGAUCUCGUACAGCACUGUGUACUACUCCCUUCACAGAACAGUGCAAACUGUCUCUAACCAGAAUAGAAAGAGGAGUGGGAGGCCCUGGUGCACAACUGAGCAACAUAAACAGUGAUGAGGCUGGUGUUUUGCUGGUACUAUUUAAUGAAGCUACCAGUUGAGGACUUGUGAGACGUCUGUUUCUCAAACUAGACACUCUAAUGUUACAUAAGUAUUCAGACCCUUUGUUAUGAGACUCGAAAUUGAGCUCUGGUCCAUCCUGUUUCCACUGAUCAUCCUUGAUAUGUUUCUACAACUUGAUUGGAGUCCAUCUGUGAUAAAUUCAAUUGAUUGGACAUGAUUUGGAAAGGCACACACCUGUCUAUAGAUGACAGUGCUUUUCAGAGCAAAAACCAAGCCAUGAGGUCGAAGGAAUUGUCCAUAGAGUUCUGAGACAGGAUUGUGUCGAGGCACAGAUCUGGGAAAGGGUACCAAAACAUUUCUGCAGCAUUGAAGGUCCCCAAGAACACAGUGGCCUCCAUCAUUCUUAAAUGGAACAAGUUUGGAACCACCAAGACUCUUCCUAGAGCUAGUCGCCCGGUCAAACUGAGCAAAAGGGGGAGAAGGGCUUUGGUCAGGGAGGUAAACAAGUACCCGAUGGUCACUCUGACAGUGCCCCAGAGUUGCUCUGUGGAGAUGGGAGAACCUUCCAGAAGGACAAUCAUCUCUGCAGCACUCCACCAAUCAGGCUUUUAUGGUAGAGUGGCCAGACGGAAGCCCCUCCUCAGUAAAAGGCACAUGACAGCUCGCUUGGAGUUUGCCCAAUAAAAGCCCCUAAAGGACUCUCAGACCAUGAGAAACAAGAUUCUCUCGUCUGAUGAAACCAAGAUUGAACUCUUUGGCCUGAAUGCCAAGCGUCACGUCUGGAUUAAACCUGACACCAUCCCUACGGUGAAGCAUGAUGGUGGCAGCAUCAUGUUGUGGGGAUAUCUUUCAGUGGCAGGGUCUGGGAGACUAGUCAGGAUCGUGGGAAAGUUGAACUGAGCAAAGUACAGAGAGAUCAUUGAUGAAGCACUCAGGACCUUAGACUGGGGUGAAGGUUCACCUUCCAACAGGACAACGACCCUAAGCACACAGCCAAAACAAUGCAGGAGUGGCUUUGGGACAAGCCUCUAAACGUCCUUGAGUGGCCCAGCCAAAGCCCGGACUUGAACCCGAGACCUGAAAAUAGCUGUGCAGCAACUCUCCCCAUCCAACCUGACAGAGCUUGAGAGGAUUUGUAGAGAAGAAUGGGAUAAACUCCCCAAAUACAGGUGUGCCUAGCUUGUAGCGUCAUACCCAAGACUCAAGGUUGUAAUCACUGCCAAAGGUGCUUCAACAAAGUACUGAGUAAAGGAUCUGAAUACUUAUGUAAAUGUGAUAUUUCAGAAUUUUUUUUUUAUACAUUUGCAAAAAUUGAUAAAAACCUGUUUUUACUUUGUCAUUAUGAGAUUUUAUGUAGACUGAUGAGGGAAAUAAAGCUGUAGAAUAAGGCUGUAAUGUGGCUGAAAUAGCCAAUCCACUAAUUUGAAGGGGUGUCCACAUACUUUUGCGUAUAUAGUGUAUAUACUAUAUGGGCAAUACAAAAAUAAGUGAUGUAAUUAUUUUGUCUCUUCGUAACAAUAUCUGCAGAGCUGAGAUGGUUGUAGGCCCCAUAUAAAUGUUGUCUUGAAAUUAGAUGACCAUCAUAGGCAUUUCCAAUUCCAUAGAAAAUAUUGGCCCUGGUUUAGAAACGGAAAAAGUCCUGUUUCAAAUGAAGUAUUCUUCUUUCUAUUCGUCCUUGUCCAAAAUCUCUAGUUGAACCUGCUCGCUUUGAGAGUCCCUGCCAUACUUGUCGACAGAAUCACCACACUCGGCCUCAUUGGUGUGGUAAGUGCCCUUAUGCUUGACAAUGUAGCGCAGUACCAGCAACGCCAGGAGCAGCGCCAGGAGCAGCGCAAAAAUUCCUCCU